UGUAAACCCUGGCUGCCCCGGCCUGCUGUUUCCGGCUUCUCUGUCUGCCCAGGUCCCUCCCUGGAGCUCUGACGACACAGAGAAGAGAAAGUGGGCUGGAGGAGGAAGAGGAAGAAAGUGGGGUGAACAUGUACCCACUGCACAGACGAAUGUCCACAGACAGUCAUGGAAGCCAGGCCCUGCCAUCUGGUUGUCUCAGGAAGUCUGAGUCCAAGAAGAGUCCAAAAGAGAGAGAAGAGGAGCUGCAGCCUCGACUUUGGCUCCUUUAGGAUUAAGUAGGAUGGUAUCUACUAAACAAGCAACUCCUAGAAGAAAAUAAUGGGCUGGAGGAUGGCUCAGCGGUUAAGAGCACUGACUGCUCUUCCAGAGGUCCUGAGUUCAAAUCCCACAACCACAUGGUGGCUUACAACCACUUGUAAUGGGCUCCGAUGCCCUCUUCUGGUGUGUCUGAAGACAGCUACUCAUAUAGGCUUUUAAAAAAAGGAAAGAAACACUUCCUCUUCCUUUAUAUCUGACCAUGCCCCAGGGUUUAGAAGUAUAUCUGAUUCUACUUUAAAGAUCCAUGACUGUUGGUCAUUCAGGUGUUCCCAUGAUGCGGGGAACGGUGCAUUCCAACAGAACAGUCAUUAAGACGUGUACCUCAGUGGCAGCUGGAGUACGUGAGGUGACUAGGGCACACUCAUUUCAGAUUGUGAAACUGUAGGGUCAGGCCAGCUCUCAUUGAUGACACCCACCUGCCUGACACCUCAUUGCCUCACCUCCCUCCAGGCCCUGCAAUCCCACCCAGUGUCUGCAAACAUUAGAGACAUGAGAAACAGCAUUAGGGGGUAGGGGGGACCUGUAUGGUGUGAGAGGUUGCAGUUACAACCCAACAGUGAGUCACAAAAGCAAUUCUGUGGGUAUAUUAGUUUUGCCAGGGUUGCUGUCAUAAAGUGCCAUGAGCUGGAUGGCACUUUAAACAAUGUUUAAACAAUGGUUUAAACCAUUGAAAUUGGUUUAAACAAUAGAAAUUUGACACGGGAUGUUGAGAGCCAAAGACCCAAGAUCAAGGUGCUACUGGGUUGGUUCUUUCUGAAGAGUAUGGAAGACUUUGAUAUAUUAAUUUUUCAAGGAACAUAACUCAUGCCAUAAUAUCUUGGCUACUUAAAAAAAAACAAAAUGGAAUAGAAAGGGCUGGAAAAAAUGGCUCAGUGACUGAGAGCACUGGCUGCUCUUCUAAAGGACGCAGGUUCAAUUCCCAGCACCCACAUGGCAGUUCAUAACUGCCCUUAACUCCAGAUCCAGGGGAUUCAAUAGCCCUCUUCUGGCUUCCAAGGAUACUGGGCACCUAUGUGAUAUACAGACAUAAAUACAUGUAGGCAAAAUAGCCACACACAUAAAAUAAAAUGAAAUGAACUAAUAAAAUAUAAUAAUAAUAUAUAAAAUAUCUGUAAGAACUUGGGCAUGGUGGUGGCACAGGCCUUUAAUCCCAGCACUUUAGAGGCAGAAGCAUAAGGAUCUCUGGGAGUUCAAGACCAGCCUGGUCUGCAUAGAUAGUUCCAGGAUAGCCAAGAGACCUUUUCUCAAAAAAGAAAAAGGAAAUUUUAUAUAUAUAUAUAUAUAUAUAUAUAUAUAUAUAUAUAUAUAUAUAUAUAUAUAUAUAGAGAGAGAGAGAGAGAGAGAGAGAGAGAUACAUAUGUCUCUUUCCAGGGGAAUCUGAUGCCUCCAGGGACACCUGCAUUCGUCUACACGUGUCCUCAUGCAUACACACACAUCUACACAUAAUAAACUAAUAAAAAAUGUUUAUAAUGUCAAAGAAAAUAAAGCUGGUGCUCCUUCAGCCU